rnacentral:lncRNA from 1 species
UUUUUUUUUUUUUGGAGAAUUGCGAAUAGCUACACCAGCUAUACUUCAUGAAGAAGUAAUACUAAAAAAACCUGCCAAUAAGAUUUUUACUAUUUAAUUUAAUAUAACAACAAAAAAUCUGAUCUUCAAUUUAAGUUGGAUAAGUAAAAUAAGAUUUGCUUGCCUAGGAUUUGUUUUUACAUGGCCCAUGAAACUCCCCAGGCACCAGAAACUAGGAAAACAAACGAUGACAGGAAUCAUGCAAUGAUCCUGGACAACACUGAAACCCUAGCUAGCUAUAAUAGGACGCAUUUGAAUCAUGAAGAUGCGCAGCUGAAGUAGUAGCACUCUCUUCAAAUUGCAAACAAAACAAAUCCCUGGCCUCUUGCUUACAAACCCAAGCUGCUAAUUUUUGUGUAUCUCUCACACUUUCCUUGAAUACAAACAUGUAAAACAAAGCCAUGAUAAGUAGAGAAAGAUAAUAAAAGACCUUGGAUGAAUUGAAAUAUAUGUAAUAAGCUACCAAAGUUAGAUAAUACAUUGCCUAUAGAGAAAGAGAAAUAAUAUGAGAGGAAAAGGUUUUG